rnacentral:ncRNA from 1 species
UUUGAUAGAGGUUGCAAAUUUUAUUAGUAAAUAAACUGAGAUUAGUAGAUCAAAGAUGUUUGUUAAAAGGAAAAUUUGCCGAAGUUUAAGUUUUUCUACUAAAAAUUUAAGCUGGGUACAUAAAGAAUAUUUAUGUAACUGUCACCAAAUUGGUGUUGUGCUAUCG